GUCACUCCGCAAGGGGUGGCGCACGGCUCAGUAACACGUAGUCAACCUACCCUGGGGACGGGGAUAACCUCGGGAAACUGAGGCUAAACCCCGAUGGGCCAUGGCUCCUGGAAUGGGCUAUGGCUGAAAUCUACAUGGCCCCAGGAUGGGACUGCGGCCGAUCAGGUUGUUGGUGGGGUAAUGGCCCACCAAGCCUAUAACCGGUGCGGGCUCUGAGAGGAGGAGCCCGGAGAUGGGCACUGAGACAAGGGCCCAGGUCCUAUGGGGCGCAGCAGGCGCGAAACCUCCGCAAUGGGCGAAAGCCCGACGGGGUUAGUCCGAGUGGUCCCUGCUGAAGGGGCCUUUUGCCAGCUGUAAAAAGGCUGGCGAAUAAGGGGUGGGCAAGUUUGGUGUCAGCCGCCGCGGUAAUACCAGCACCCCGAGUGGUCGGGACGAUUAUUGGGCCUAAAGCAUCCGUAGCCGGCUUAGCAAGUCCUCCGUUAAAUCCAACGGCUUAACCGUUGGGCUGCGGAGGAUACUGCUAAGCUAGGGGGCGGGAGAGGCGGGGGGUAUUCCCAGGGUAGGGGUAAAAUCCGUUGAUCCUGGGAGGACCACCAGUGGCGAAGGCGCCUCGCUAGAACGCGCCCGA
rnacentral:rRNA from 1 species